GCCCAAGGUCUCGGCCGUGAGCCCGUCUCACAGAGCCGCUCAGCGCUGAGAAGCGCUCCCAGAGCCGCCACCACGCAGCCCAGCCGAGGCGAGCAAUCAGUGCACCGCGCCGCUGCAUGUAAAGAAAAGAGGCUCCAUCUACAAACCAGAGCUUUGUUUGGAGGUCUCUUAGGCCCUAGAACAGUGACUGGUAUGCAGCAGGACCUGAACAUCCUCACGAGAGAAGCACUACCACAGCCUCAGUUUCCCUAGCGGUAAAGUGAGGAGAGCAGCUCAUGAAUGCACUACAGGUAGCACCACACCACAGGGAGCAACUGUACUCGUCGGGGACCCAAGCUGAGUCCAGAAGAGUGGACAGCUUCCCUUUCAUCCCCACCCUACGCCCAUCACUGCGGCCUAGAAGCUCCUCUGCGGGGUUGGCCUUCCAGGAACGCAGGGCACCUGCAGGUCCCACAGGAGACACGGACAGGGAAAUGCCAGAUGUCUCCUUGGAACAUGUGCGGCCCAGAGAAACCAAGUGGAGGGUGGGCUGAGUCAUCCUGGCCACGCCGGGGCCCUGCUGUGAUCUGGCCCCUAACCAACAGCCCCGGGGACACACCAUUGGUACCUUCCCACCUUCCCACACCUGCUCAGCUCCAGCAUCACCUGAGACAGGUGAGCACUGAUCCCAGGUCCAGGUGGGUUCUGACCCUCAGCCCAGGUGGGCUCUGACCCCAGGCUCAGGUGAGCUCUGUACCCUGGCCCAGGUGGGCUCUGACCCUAGGCCAAGGUGGGCUCUCUGAUCCCAGGCCCAGGUGGGCUCUGACCUGGGGCUUAGAUGAGCUCUGCCCCCCAGCCCAGUGAGCUUUCUGACCCUCAGCCCAGGUGGGCUUCCUGGCCCAGCUAAGCUCUUCCCCACUUCCUGUGAUCUGGUGGGGUGCAUCCAGAGGACAGCUGUCCAAUGGGACUCACAGUGGGACCCACCUGAGAGGCAGGCACAGAAGUUGGACCCAAGUAUCCAGGUCCUGUUUGGCGGUAUGUUCCCUUUCUCCCGUCCAUCCCCAAAUACUCUUUUAGGGUCUCUGAGCAAACUUAAAGGCUAGUCUCUGGAUUUACUCCUCAUCAGGCUAACAAAGGGUCUUGCUCUUAGCUGUGGCCAGGAGGGACCCCUGAACUGUCACCCUUGAGGGGGACUCUAGGGAGGUCUGUCAAACUGCUACCUUCAGGCACCCUCCUGAGGGAGUCAUGGAAUUUGGAAAUCCACAUGCUGAUUCUAACCUGUCCCCCUAGUGUUUUGUACUAAAAUAAACACAGAUGUCCUCUGGCAUAGAAUUCAGAUUUUCCAUUAAAUUCUAUUUUAAAAGCAGGAAUGUUGAAGAAAUUCUGAAUCUGGGUAGGGCUGAUCCAGGUCAAGGGCCUACUUUGAGUAUCCUCUGGUUUUAAAGGUAUGUCCAUAGAAAUGUCCAAGAACAUCCAUGGAAAGCCAGCAUCAGCCACUAACACCCUAGUAAGAGUGAGAGUGAAUUCCCUGAGUGAGAGUCUGGAGGUGCAGCAGCACCUGUAUGAGCAGGAUACCCACCGCUGCAGGGGGCAGGGGGGCAGGGCUAUCA